GGAGAGGUGCCAGAGUGGUUGAAUGGGGCGCCCUGCUAAGGCGUUAGGCCUUUACGGGUCUCGAGGGUUCGAAUCCCUCCCUCUCCGCCA
rnacentral:tRNA from 1 species